rnacentral:rRNA from 1 species
ACGGGUGCGUAACGCGUGGGAAUCUGCCCUUAGGUUCGGAAUAACAGCUGGAAACGGCUGCUAAUACCGGAUGAUGACGAAAGUCCAAAGAUUUAUUGCCUGAGGAUGAGCCCGCGCUGGAUUAGGUAGUUGGUGGGGUAAAGGCCUACCAAGCCGACGAUCCAUAGCUGGUCUGAGAGGAUGAUCAGCCACACUGGGACUGAGACACGGCCCAGACUCCUACGGGAGGCAGCAGUGGGGAAUAUUGGACAAUGGGCGAAAGCCUGAUCCAGCAAUGCCGCGUGAGUGAUGAAGGCCCUAGGGUUGUAAAGCUCUUUUACCCGGGAAGAUAAUGACUGUACCGGGAGAAUAAGCCCCGGCUAACUCCGUGCCAGCAGCCGCGGUAAUACGGAGGGGGCUAGCGUUGUUCGGAAUUACUGGGCGUAAAGCGCACGUAGGCGGCUUUGUAAGUCAGAGGUGAAAGCCUGGAGCUCAACUCCAGAACUGCCUUUGAGACUGCAUCGCUUGAAUCCAGGAGAGGUCAGUGGAAUUCCGAGUGUAGAGGUGAAAUUCGUAGA